ensembl:miRNA MIR4488 microRNA 4488
GGUAGGGGGCGGGCUCCGGCGCUGGGACCCCACUAGGGUGGCGCCUUGGCCCCGCCCCGCCC